GAUGAAGAACGUAGCGAAAUGCGAUGAGUAAUGUGAAUUGCAGAAUUCAGUGAAUCAUCGAAUCUUUGAACGCACAUUGCGCCCGCCAGUAUUCUGGCGGGCAUGCCUGUUCGAGCGUCAUUACAACCCUCAGGCCCCCGGGCCUGGCGUUGGGGAUCGGCGGAAGCCCCCUGUGGGCACACGCCGUCCCUCAAAUACAGUGGCGGUCCCGCCGCAGCUUCCAUUGCGUAGUAGCUAACACCUCGCAACUGGAGAGCGGCGCGGCCAUGCCGUAAAACACCCAACUUCUGAAUGUUGACCUCGAAUCAGGUAGGAAUACCCGCUGAACUUAAGCAUAUCAAUAAGCGGAGGA
rnacentral:misc_RNA from 1 species